rnacentral:rRNA from 1 species
GAACGCUGGCGGUGUGCUUAACACAUGCAAGUCGAACGGGCAAGAGCUGUAGCAAUACAGAAUUCUGCUAGUGGCAGACGGGUGAGUAAUACAUGGGAAUCUACCUUGCAGUGCGAAAUAACAGUUGGAAGCAAUUGCUAAUGUCGCAUAUAGCCGAGAGGUGAAAGAUUUAUCGCUGCAAGACGAGCCCAUGCAGGAUUAGCUAGUUGGUGGGGUAAUGGCUCACCAAGGCGACGAUCUUUAGUUGGUCUGAGAGGGUGAUCGGCCACACUGGGACUGAGACACGGUC